rnacentral:rRNA from 1 species
GGUUACCUUGUUACGACUUCACCCCAGUCAUGAAACACAAAGUGGUAAGCGCCAUCCCGAAGGUUAAGCUACCUACUUCUUUUGCAUCCCACUCCCAUGGUGUGACGGGCGGUGUGUACAAUGCCCGGGAACGUAUUCACCGUAGUAUGCUGACCUACGAUUACUAGCGAUUCCGACUUCAUGGAGUCGAGUUGCAGACUCCAAUCCGGACUACGACGAGCUUUAAGGGGUCCGCUUACCUUCGCAGGUUCGCAUCCCUUUGUAC